UACGUAGGGUGCAAGCGUUGUCCGGAAUUACUGGGCGUAAAGCGCACGUAGGCGGGUUCUUAAGUCGGUGGUGAAAUCCUGGAGCUCAACUCCAGAACUGCCUUCGAAACUGGGAAUCUUGAGUCCGGGAGAGGUGAGUGGAACUGCGAGUGUAGAGGUGAAAUUCGUAGAUAUUCGCAAGAACACCAGUGGCGAAGGCGGCUCACUGGCCCGAUACUGACGCUGAGGCACGAAAGCGUGGGGAG
rnacentral:rRNA from 1 species